AAAGGAAUAGACGGGGACCCGCACAAGCAGCGGAGCAUGUGGUUUAAUUCGAAGCAACGCGAAGAACCUUACCUGGACUUGACAUCCUUUAGAAAUCUCCUUAACCGGAGCCCUCCCUUCGGGGACUGAAGAGACAGGUGGUGCAUGGUUGUCGUCAGCUCGUGUCGUGAGAUGUUGGGUUAAGUCCCGCAACGAGCGCAACCCUUGCCUUUAGUUGCCAUCAGGUAAAGCUGGGCACUCUAGAGGGACUGCCGGGGAUAACUCGGAGGAAGGUGGGGAUGACGUCAAAUCAUCAUGCCCCUUAUGUUCAGGGCUACACACGUGCUACAAUGGCCGAUACAAAGGGACGCCAAGGAGUAAUCCGGAGCAAAUCCCAUAAAGUCGGUCCCAGUUCGGAUUGUGGGCUGAAACUCGCCCACAUGAAGUCGGAGUUGCUAGUAAUCGCGAAUCAGAAUGUCGCGGUGAAUGCGUUCCCGGGUCUUGUACACACCGCCCGU
rnacentral:rRNA from 1 species